AGAGCUGAAUUGGAGGACCAGAAAGAAGGCCAGCGUGAGUGGAGUCCCAAGGGAGGAGACAGAGAAGUGGCCAGGGCCAGGUGAGAAGGACCCAGUAGACUGUGCCCAGCCUGGAUGGCAAAAGCGACAGACCCUCCCUCAGAGGGACAAGGAUGAGACGGCCGAACCAGUGCUCCUGCCCGGGCUCCACAGGCCCCUUUCCUCGCUGGCCCCACUGGAGAGGCAGGGGUUAAGCUCCAUGGCCUGUCCCCUCUGUCACACAUGUACCCUGCCAUCUCUGGGCUCAACUGUCGCUGCGCUGUAUCGGGACUCCAUCAGAGAGGCUCAGGCAGCAGCUUGCAGUGUUCAGGCCGGCGGUCUCGAGGGUGGCGAGUUCUUGCACUCCUACAACAGCGCUUGAGGACGGCUCUGUCCGCUGGCCUAUGCUGCAGCCUCCUCCUGCCCCUGCGGCAGAGGAGGGAGAGCCGUGGGCACAGCUAGCACUAGCACGUGUGGGUUCAGAGGUCUGAGCGGCCACUUCCCGCUUCCAGACCUCGGAUGCGACGCUCAUCUGCACGGUGUGGGCAGAGAUAACAUCCUCCCCAGAACAGCAUGGAAAUGUUUCAGCAGGGUGCUCGGCUUAGAUAAGUGCUCGGCAAACCAGAGUUGCCAUCAUGAUUCCCCCACGGCCCUCAAUCCUCUCCUCCCUGCAAAGCGUGCAUCCUUUUUUACCCCAUCUUCCACCCCUCCCAAUUUCCCUUUUGGCCUCAUCUUGGAGGCUGUAAGUCAGGGUGAAUCAUUCAUCAAAAUAUCUCACUCUUCCUCUUCCAGGGUUCCUGAUAUAAUUACCUCCCUCUUCGGUUUUGCUCCUGAUCCCUCUUCUGUUUUUUUCUGUGUGAACUUUAUUUUAACCAUCCUUUGUGUCUGUGAAUGUUUUUUUUUUUU
rnacentral:lncRNA from 1 species